rnacentral:rRNA from 1 species
AUGCACGCCGGCGCACCGCCCAUCGGGAGCAGGGAGUCCACGGCCCUCGCGCAGCCGAAGUCCGUAGGCCCGGAUGACGAACUCCGGGAGCCGCCAGGCGCGACCUCGAGGAAGCGGGCGGCCCGGACAGUGUGGUUGGGCCCGCCGGAGAGCACGAUGGUGUCGCGGGUCGCGCGCGGCGAGGAGCAGCGCCCGCGGCUGGAGCGUGAUGUUGGGGCCAAUGGCGGGCUUGGUGCCGCUGCCCUUGAGGUACAUGGACGCGUCGCAGCCCUGAGGAAAGCAGUCGUGGAAGAAGACGCCGACGAGGCCGGCGGCGAGCGCCACUUCACGCUGGAGCGCCGCCUGCACGGAGGACAACACGAUGCUCUCCAGCUGCUAGUUAGUGCGGUGCCGCCGCUGCUGCUCGCAAUCGCCAUAGUUGGUGCGGUGUUGUGGGUGUGGACUGUGGAGUAA